rnacentral:tRNA from 3 species
GCCCCCGUAGCUCAGCGGUUAGAGCGGCGGUUUUGUAAACCGUAGGUCGGGAGUUCAAUUCUCCCCGGGGGCU